UUGACCUCGAAUCAGGUAGGAAUACCCGCUGAACUUAAGCAUAUCAAUAAGCGGAGGAAAAGAAACCAACAGGGAUUGCCCCAGUAACGGCGAGUGAAGCGGCAACAGCUCAAAUUUGAAAUCUGGCUCUCGGGCCCGAGUUGUAAUUUGUAGAGGAUGCUUUUGGUGAGGUGCCUUCCGAGUUCCCUGGAACGGGACGCCAUAGAGGGUGAGAGCCCCGUCUGGUUGGACACCGAUCCUCUGUAAAGCUCCUUCGACGAGUCGAGUAGUUUGGGAAUGCUGCUCUAAAUGGGAGGUAUAUGUCUUCUAAAGCUAAAUACCGGCCAGAGACCGAUAGCGCACAAGUAGAGUGAUCGAAAGAUGAAAAGAACUUUGAAAAGAGAGUUAAAAAGUACGUGAAAUUGUUGAAAGGGAAGCGCUUGUGACCAGACUUGGGCUUGGUUGAUCAUCCGGGGUUCUCCCCGGUGCACUCUUCCGGCUCAGGCCAGCAUCAGUUCGCCCUGGGGGGAUAAAGGCUUCGGGAAUGUGGCUCUCUCCGGGGGAGUGUUAUAGCCCGCUGCGUAAUACCCUGUGGCGGACUGAGGUUCGCGCAU
rnacentral:rRNA from 1 species